CCAAAAYGACUCUCGGCAACGGAUAUCUCGGCUCUCGCAUCGAUGAAGAACGUAGCGAAAUGCGAUACUUGGUGUGAAUUGCAGAAUCCCGUGAACCAUCGAGUCUUUGAACGCAAGUUGCGCCCGAAGCCAUCRGGCCGAGGGCACGCCUGCCUGGGCGU
rnacentral:rRNA from 1 species